CUUGCACAAGAAAAGAUUUUGAAGAACCUGACUCAUUAUGUGGCUGAGAAGAACACUGCCUGUCUCAAUUACACAUAAAGAGAAGCUGUCCACUAAAAUUUUUACAGGUGUUGUUUUGGAAAGCGUGAAGUUAGAGACCCUUCCUUAA
rnacentral:lncRNA from 1 species